AGACGUCCCCUAAAGGGUUGUCNNUUCUUUAGGGGAAGAACCAAAGUCCCUACUUGUUCAUCAUUUUCAUUAUUUUCUUUAUUAAAAUAAAGAAAAUAAUGAAAAUGAUGACUUGGUACAAGGGUACGAAGUUUGUUCCCCUAAAGGGGAAGCGCUGUGAGGGAGUUAGUUUGGUUUUCUUCAGGAAACAGCUACUGAUUAAGUUUGGCUAAGCCAACGAAGUAGCUUGUUUUGUAGAACAUUUAUGCUGUAGUUUCGUAGUACAACGUUGUCUGAACGACUACGAACAUUUGUGACUUAUGUUGUGUUACAUCCCCUUUAGGGGAUGAAGAACGAAGGGGACCACGAGGGCUUUGCCUUUACCUUAACCCACAAGACCAAAGGUAAAGCUUUUCGUGCAUGUACAACGGACCUUGUCUAUGUUAUGCUACAGCGUGCGUAAACUUUUUGACAGAGCAGAGCCAACGUUGUGGUCCUAUAAUUUUUAUAGGUGCCGUGCACCUAACUUCGGCCGGAGGCCUCCUUCACGGGUUCCUCGCCGUGUGCUACUGUUUACUUGGAACGUGGCCCUAUAGAGUUAGCUUGUUCCAACGAGUCGGUUACGCUAACUCUAUCAUAUUAUUAUAUAGUGCCAGCUAACGGCUGGAGGCCUACUGCGCCAAGCGCAAAGGCAUCGCCCUUAAUCAAUUUAAAAUAGUAAUGGAAUAAAAUCGAAAGUAUAGCGAUAUGUCUAANAAAAAUUAUUUAUUUUAUAAAUAAACGCUUUUCAAUGCCAAUAAACACCCAAAGCAUUUUUUAAUUUGCUACUAAAUAUAAGCGAGGGCUUCGUCCCAAAGGUAACUAACAACACAUCAGCUUUAGGUGUGCGCUUGCAACUAACGUAAUUUCGGCUCGAGGCCUUCUACUUUAUUUAGUUACCUACAGGNNN
rnacentral:lncRNA from 1 species